rnacentral:rRNA from 1 species
UACAGAGGUGGCAAGCGUUGUUCGGAAUUACUGGGCGUAAGGGGCGCGUAGGCGGCCUUCUAAGUCAGACGUGAAAUCUCCCGGCUUAACCUGGGAACUGCGUCUGAUACUGGGAGGCUUGAGUAUGGGAGAGGGAUGUAGAAUUCCAGGUGUAGCGGUGAAAUGCGUAGAUAUCUGGAGGAAUACCGGUGGCGAAGGCGGCAUCCUGGACCAUAACUGACGCUGAGGCGCGAAAGCUAGGGGAGCAAACGGG